GGAGUGCCGCAAGGAACCAGAACACAGGUGCUGCAUGGCUGUCGUCAGCUCGUGACGUGAGAUGUUGGGUUAAGUCCCGCAACGAGCGCAACCCUUGUCCUUAGUUGCCAUCAUUAAGUUGGGAACUCUAAGGAGACCGCCGGUGACAAACCGGAGGAAGGUGGGGAUGACGUCAAGUCAUCAUGGCCUUUAUGGCCAGGGCUACACACGUGCUACAAUGGCAGGUACAGAGGGAAGCCAACUCGCGAGAGGGAGCUAAUCCCAGAAAGCCUGUCUUAGUCCGGAUUGGAGUCUGCAACCCGACUCCAUGAAGUUGGAAUCGCUAGUAAUCGCAGAUCAGCAUUGCUGCGGUGAAUACGUUCCCGGGUCUUGUACACACCGCCCGUCACACCAUGGGAGUUGAUUGCACUAGAAGCAGGUAGCCUGACCGCAAG
rnacentral:rRNA from 1 species